AGAAAAUAGGAAGUAUGCUAACCGGGAGCAGAAAGUAAUUUUCUAGAGGCAGUAUGUUAACCGGGAGCAGAAAGUAAUUUGAACAUCUUCUUCUCGAUUAUCGGUUGAUUGACGCAAGUGGGGCAGUACAUGCACAACGAGCAGAACGCACUAAUCCAGGCUUCAAAUAGAUUUAACUUGAGCAACUAAUUAACAUGCAUCUACCCUUUAAUUCACCAACUACACUCCUACAAACCUCAUUCAUCAAAUCCGACGGCCCAAACACAUCGAAUCCAACAGCUCCGAUCGCCCCACGUCUCCCCCCUCCCCUCCGCCCAUCGCGCAUCGAUCCCCUUCCGCAAUCGCGGCGCGCCCCUCUACCAAUCGCGCUCCUUUUUCGCCGCUCUCCGUCGCGCCCCCUGCUCCAUUCGCCGCCCGCCCGCUCCUAUCGCCGCUUCCGCCGCUCCGGGCUUCGCCUGUGCCGCUCCCUCGACUGGCGCUUGCGCCGCCCGUCGUCGCGCCAUCCCCUACCCGUACAACCGCCGAAUCCCUAUCGCCGCCCUUCUUCCGCGGCCACGCCAUCGCCGCCCGCCAGGCCGAUCUCCGUCGCCCACGACCACGCCGCGCGCCAAUCGCCCAUUGCCACCUCCACGGAUCGCCUCUCAUCGAUCUCCUCCGUGCCACCACCGAUCCCGCGUUGACCUCCUCCGCGCCCCCUUCAGUGGCCAGAUCUAGAUUGGCGGUGAGCCCCAGCCAUCAACGAUGGCGCCCUUCCCUACUGUUGGAAGCUGUUCCAGCAACCUCCUUGGCCGGCGGCGCGGAUCGUCGCCAUCACCUCGGCUCGCUGAUCUCCUGCGACAACGCGAAUCAACCUGGCCAUGCAUCCUGUUUUCAACACUAACGAAUCGAGAUAUAUGCAGGUUGGGACCUUCGCCAAUUGGAUAUUGGUCAACAAGCUGGGUGCUUGGUGUUUAUUGAUUGUUCUACAUAUCCCCUGAUUUUUAGAUGUUAUGGCAUGUGGCACCAGUUGUCCACUUGCAUUUUUCUGUUUAGAAGAAUAAUAGGAAGUUAGAGAGCGACAUGAAAUGUGACCUGAACGCUUCGUCGUGGUUCCACAACAACAGCAGCAUAGAGGGGCGGCAGCCUGUGAUGCUACCUGAAUACCCCCCCGGCUUGCUCCAUUCUAGGGCGAAGGCACAAACUGUGUUGGCUAGAACAGACUGAAUUUGUGAGGAUGGCAGUGCAGUUCAAUGCCAUAAUUGUGCCCUUUGGAAGUUCGGAAUCAUUGGAGGGGAAGACCUGUUGAAAGUAUGCCACAUGCCCCUAUUGCUCAGUUUCUCUGCGCUUGCUAGAAACGCACCCUUUGGCAAGAAUCUUGUGCAACAGUGCAAGCAUACAGUAAUCACCUCAAGCCAACUGCUAAUUACGUCCUAAUUCUGUCAAACUGUGUGACUGCUAAUUUGUUUUUUCAGAAUCAGGCUUGUGUAAGAAGAAAGGUAAAAAAUUUGAAAACGUAACCUUGGGGUAGUCAAAACAAGGCCUGAACUAAAAUUCAAAUGAAUUGUUCUCUUGAGAACAAAUAUUUGCGGAGAGAUAAUAUACAAAGAUGGUGUUGGCAA